AUUACAGUUUGAAGGAAAUUGCUCGUGAAAGUAAAUUCCCAUUUACGUGUCUCGAUACUUUUGUUGGGCAUCGAUAGCAUCGUGUCGUUUGCAGAGACAGUCGUAGAGAGAGAGCGUGACUCACGGAACGAUGCCCGUAGGUGGAAGUGCUCCCGUAGGACCUUUAUCGGGGCAAUAGUCGGCCAACAACUCGCAGUUAUCGUCAAUUGCGGCGGUGAGCGGCGCUGAUAGGGCUGGGAGAAUCACGGGAAGCGGCGGAAGAAGGCGUUCAAGCCAGAAGAAAACCCGUAAAGGGGUAAUGGCCGAGUCGUCGUGCCGUCGAACGAUUUGUCUUCAAUUACGGACAGGCCAAAUUCCGACGGGGAAACACGAUCGUGUUCAGCCAGGAGAUCCAAGGUCCGCGAGGAUGUGAUAUCGAGAAGGAACGGGAUUUAUCAGACCUUGCCACCCCCCUCUUCUACCCCGGAACGUCGAAACGUGACCACAAUGUGCGAACCAAUGCUCCAUUAGGAUUAGAAGAAAAUCGUGAAUCGAUCGAGGACGAAGCAAUUGCGUUGAAAAUGUUUCCACGCGAUUACGUUUAUCAUCUACAGUAUGUAAAAGUAUAAG
rnacentral:misc_RNA from 1 species